UUCAUGUGGCAUAGUGGUUUGUGUGCUGGACUCUGGAGACCAGGGUUCAAUUCCCAGCUCGGCCAUGAAA